CAUCCCAUAUAAACGUACAUAGCAGCUUGUCUAGUAUCAUCAUUUGAACUCCAUUUACUUGUAUAUAGCUCAUUUAUAGUUCAAUGAGUAUCAUAAACAUUAGUUCAGCGUUUCUCAACCAGGGGGUCGCGAACACCUUGACUCGGGGUCGCGCAGGUCAAAAAUAAUAAAACGCUGAUUUACAAAAUGUACCUUUUUAUUUAAAUAUUUAAGACUUUUUAUUGAAAAAAUUAAAAUAAUAAUAAUAAAAUUAUCCCGAUAAGGAUAUACAU